AGAACAAUAACUAAAGCAUAGAAGGAAGGCUAAAAUAAGAAUUCAGAAACUAUAAACCGGCUCUCUUCUAGCUUACGACACAAACUAUGAGUGAGAAAAGGACAAAUGAUUCGCUCUUUGCUUCAUUUUUUCCGAGGUUGUCACAACAUGAAAUGUCAUUUGGACCUAUUGGACUCAUUUUAACUCGGCCAAAUACAUAGUAACAUACAUAAGAAGAUUUUACUUAUAUUUACCGAACUAUUUGACACGGUCGCGUCAACUGUGUUUACGAGUGUCUUGUGUUCAGAUUGUUUUAAGUGAUAAUUUAACAAUAUUUUUCCAAAUAAAUGGAAAGAAACUUUUAUUUAUAUCAAAUAAUUGAGUGUCUCGACUGUGUGACAUUAUGUCUUGUGUGGUAUGGGGCUGCAGCUCACAUUCAGGAAGAAAAGAAAAUAGCCAACAACUUCUGUCGUUUCAUCGAUAUUAAAUCCAAAAGUGUCGACUGGAUUUACAUGAAAAGUCAGUUCAAGAAGACGAGAUGAAAAAUUUAAAAGAAAAGCUGAACAAGUCCCGCCUCAAGAUCAAACGACUUAAUGAAAAAAAAAAAAAAACAAUGUGACAGGGUGUCACAAAGACAGUUUCUAAGCAAAUUGACACUGUUUAGAAAUUAAUAAAUUUGUAUUUAUUGUAAAUAUAAUGUACAUAAUUAAU